rnacentral:rRNA from 1 species
CAGUCGCCGCGGGAAUACGGAGGGUGCAAGCGUUAUCCGGAUUCACUGGGUUUAAAGGGUGCGUAGGCGGAUCUGUAAGUCAGUGGUGAAAUCUCCAGGCUUAACCUGGAAACUGCCGUUGAUACUAUAGGUCUUGAAUUUUGUGGAGGUUAGCGGAAUAUGUCAUGUAGCGGUGAAAUGCAUAGAUAUGACAUAGAACACCAAUUGCGAAGGCAGCUGGCUACACAACUAUUGACGCUGAGGCACGAAAGCGUGGGGAUCAAACAGGAUUAGAUACCCCCGUAGUCCCUGUCUCUUAUAC